CACUGAAUUAUUUAUUUCCUUUUCUCACCCGAAUGUAAAACUCAGCCUGCGGAUGAGCUGUGACUGCCUCCAUCACAUCACGUCGUCUGACAUCGUUCAAGGUUAAAUUUAAUUACGUUAUUGAUGAAAAUGGCACCAAACACAUGUUUGUUCAGCUGCCUGUCAGCGUUACGACCUGAGAGUGACACGGGACAAAACUCAUAAUAAUGCUUCUUUAUUUCCUUCUUCACACUAACUGUGUGCAGAUAAAACAGUCAGAGACAAGAGCUACGCUUCAAACAAUAUAUUCACAGGUUUCAGUUCUCAUUGGCUACAUGAUGCAUCAAUCAUCCAGAGGCCGGCGUGUGAGUGGCUCAGACGAGAGGUGGGCGGGAACGUAGAGCGGCUCUCCUGUCUAUCAGACCAUUCAUUGGCUGUUUCAGGCCACAGGGCGGGCAUGGAAGCUCCUCAUUGGUCAAAUGAGCUGUCAAUCAAUAGGUCAGAGGUUGGCAGCCAUCUUAGAUGACUUUGGUUCUGUACUGAAGCACAGACGUCCCAUCUGACCCUCAUGAGGACUUGUUCAUUAGGAAAACAAGGAGACGGUGGCGUGACACCGAGCCCAGCGAGGCUUCUCUCUGUGACCUCCUCUGACCCGAACCAGCUGGUAAAAAAAAAAGAAUGAAGACUAAACGCCCUGAACAGCAACACAGCAAUCAGCAGCAGCAGUAAUCUGCAGGAUGACCUUCUGAGACCGACCCGGAGGGAGCUGCAUUAUUUACUUCACUCCCAGGCGAAAGGUCGCAGCGACGGCUUCACAUCCAUUCAGCCACACAGGCCGGGGGCAGGAAGCUGCUGAGCACAUGCACAGCUUUUCAUCCACAGAAACACUGAAGACUCAUCAGGACUCGGUGGAGGUGCUCAUACAUUAAUCACAGGGUCGGUUUCAGGAAGUAUCCUUCAGCAACACGUGGCUUUGUGUAGAGGGUUAACUCAUGAUCGGAUGUGAAAUCGAUGCAUCACUCAUCUGGAGGCUGGUGUGUGAUUGGCUCAGGAGAGAGUGUAACUAGUCUCCACGAUCACUCAUUUGCUGCUGCAGGCUGUAGGGCGGGCGUAGAAGCUCCUCAAUGAGCUGUCAGUCAAACGGCUGCCAUGUCAGGACCUCCGGAGUGGAGAGACGAUGGAGUCCACUUCCACUUCACCACAGAAUGCUGUGCUGUGGACCACCAGAACUUUCACAAAUCAAUGAUGAACUCACAUGUGCAGGAGACUUGAGAGAAAGAGCUUUUCAAAAGUCAGUGUUCAGCUCUCAGUACUUUAUCUGGUCCUGUUUGUUCUUUCAAACCUCUGAAUGCUUCAAAAUAAAAGCUUUUAAAUGACUAAAUAACAGGGGCUUUUAUUGUGAAGAAGUUACAGGAAAUGAAAGGUGUUUG